rnacentral:rRNA from 1 species
UGGGAAUAUUGCACAAUGGGCGAAAGCCUGAUGCAGCAACGCCGCGUGAGUGAUGAAGGCCUUCGGGUUGUAAAGCUCUGUCUUUUGGGACGAUAAUGACGGUACCAAAGGAGGAAGCCACGGCUAACUACGUGCCAGCAGCCGCGGUAAUACGUAGGUGGCAAGCGUUGUCCGGAUUUACGGGCGUAAAGGAUGCGUAGGCGGAUUUUUAAGUGAGAUGUGAAAACCCUAAGCUUAACUUGGGGACUGCAUUUCAUACUGGAAAUCUAGAGUGCGGGAGAGGAGAAUGGAAUUCCUAGUGUAGCGGUGAAAUGCGUAGAGAUUAGGAAGAACACCAGUGGCGAAGGCGAUUCUCUGGACCGUAACUGACGCUGAGGCAUGAAAGCGUGGGUAGCAAACAGGAUUAGAUACCCUGGUAGUCCACGCCGUAAACGAUGAGUACUAGGUGUAGGAGGUAUCGACCCCUUCUGUGCCGCAGUUAACACAAUAAGUACUCCGCCUGGGAAGUACGAUCGCAAGAUUAAAAACUUAAAGGAAUUGACGGGGGUCAUAGCUGUUUCCU